AUUGAACGCUGGCGGCAUGCCUUACACAUGCAAGUCGAACGGCAGCGGACCUUCGGGUGCCGGCGAGUGGCGAACGGGUGAGUAAUGCAUCGGAACGUACCUUUCAGUGGGGGAUAACGUAGCGAAAGUUACGCUAAUACCGCAUAUUCUGUGAGCAGGAAAGCAGGGGAUCGCAAGACCUUGCGCUGAUUGAGCGGCCGAGGUCAGAUUAGCUAGUUGGUGAGGUAAAGGCUCACCAAGGCGACGAUCUGUAGCGGGUCUGAGAGGAUGAUCCGCCACACUGGAACUGAGACACGGUCCAGACUCCUACGGGAGGCAGCAGUGGGGAAUUUUGGACAAUGGGGGCAACCCUGAGCCAGCCAUGCCGCGUGAGUGAAGAAGGCCUUCGGGUUGUAAAGCUCUUUCGGCCGGGAAGAAAUCGCACGGGCUAUACCCUGUGUGGAUGACGGUACCGGAAUAAGAAGCACCGGCUAACUACGUGCCAGCAGCCGCCGUAAGAC
rnacentral:rRNA from 1 species